UGCUAUUAUCGCAUCGCUCACGUCGGCUAUCGGAUAGCAUGCGCCCAAACAAGGGAAUCGCUCCGGGUGCAAUCAGUCAAAGCUUUAAGCAGGCAAAAUUUUGAAGGAUCCCGGUAGUUGUGUCAGCAUGAAUUCGCCCAAAAUUCGGGCAUUAACCUCUACCCAAGAUUGUAAGUAAGCACGCGUGCUACUAUGAACUAACAUUGUAUUCCUGCACAUCGUUCCGAACUGAACACAUUGAAUGUGAGUACCUGGCCCUCAAGAAUCUUUUGGCUCUAACAGUGAGUUUUCUUUUCAAGAAAAUCAUAGUACGUCUCAAAAAAGUAUAGUCUGAGCAGUGAGCAUCUUCGAAGAGUGAACAAUUCUGGGAGAAAAAACUGUUGUAACCAGAUUAGAAUCGUACAAGAAGCUGAUCUUAGAAAAUCGCAAAUCAAUGAAUCUAAGAACAAUACUGUUGCGUCGAAGAUAUUGGGUAAUAUUCUCAGGAAGCUCAUUUUAUCAUUGAAAACUAAAUUGCCACCAAAUUUUGGAAAAUCACUAUCCAAUUACUUGAA